AUGGAGUUGAAACUGAGCUGGGUUUUCCUUGUUGCUCUUUUCAAAGGUGUCCAGUGUGAGGUGCAGCUGGUGGAGUCUGGGGGAGGCUUGGUACAGCCUGGAAGUUCACUAAAACUCUCCUGUGCAGCCUCUGGAUUUACUUUCAGUGGCUAUUUCAUGAACUGGGUCCGCCAGGCUCCAGGGAAGGGGCUGGAGUGGGUUGCUCAAAUUAGAAACAAAGGUUAUAAUUAUGCAACAUACUAUGCAGAGUCUGUGAAAGGCAGAUUCACUAUCUCAAGAGAUGAUUCCAAAAGCAGUCUCUACCUGCAAAUGAGCAGUUUAAGAGCUGAAGACACCGCCAUUUACUACUGUGCAAGACACUGUGAAUGA